rfam:Populus trichocarpa scaffold_10_contig_284, whole genome shotgun sequence.
GCGGUGAUAGCUCAGUUGGGAGAGCGUCAGGCUGAAUUUCUGUACGUCGCGUGUUCUGUCCACGCUCCCCGCA